ACCAGACUCCUACGGGAGGCAGCAGUGAGGAAUAUUGGUCAAUGGGCGCGAGCCUGAACCAGCCAAGUCGCGUGAGGGAAGACGGUCCUAUGGAUUGUAAACCUCUUUUGUCGGGGAGCAAAAGACGCCACGUGUGGCGUUCCGAGAGUACCCGAAGAAAAAGCAUCGGCUAACUCCGUGCCAGCAGCCGCGGUAAUACGGAGGGUGCGAGCGUUAAUCGGAAUUACUGGGCGUAAAGCGCACGUAGGCUGUAUGACAAGUCAAGGGUGAAAUGCCACGGCUCAACCGUGGAACUGCCUUUGAAACUGUCAAACUGGAGUAUGUGAGAGGGCGGCGGAAUUCCUGGUGUAGGAGUGAAAUCCGUAGAUAUCAGGAGGAACAUCAGUGGCGAAGGCGGCCGCCUGGCACAAAACUGACGCUGAGGUGCGAAAGCGUGGGUAGCAAACAGGAUUAGAUACCCGCGUAUGG
rnacentral:rRNA from 1 species